rnacentral:rRNA from 1 species
AGAGUUUGAUCCCGGCUCAGAAUCAACGCUGGCGGCGCGCUUAACACAUGCAAGUCGAACGAGAAAGCCGGAGCAAUCUGGUGAGUAAAGUGGCGUACGGGUGAGUAACACGUGGAUCAUCCACCCUCUGGUGGGGAAUAACCCUGGGAAACCGGGGCUAAUACCGCAUAAGUCCGAGAGGAGAAAGGCGGCCUGUAAAAGGGUUGACGCCGGAGGAGGAGUCCGCGGCCGAUUAGCUAGUUGGUAGGGUAACGGCCUACCAAGGCGACGAUCGGUAGCCGGCCUGAGAGGGCACACGGCCACACUGGCACUGAGACACGGGCCAGACUCCUACGGGAGGCAGCAGUGGGGAAUCUUGCACAAUGGGGGCAACCCUGAUGCAGCGACGCCGCGUGAGUGAUGAAGCCCUUCGGGGUGUAAAGCUCUUUCGACAGGAACGAUAAUGACGGUACCUGGAGAAGAAGCUGCGGCUAACUACGUGCCAGCAGCCGCGGUAAUACGUAGGCAGCAAGCGUUGUUCGGAGUUACUGGGCGUAAAGAGUGUGUAGGAGGUCAGCUUAGUCUGGUGUGAAAUCUUCCGGCUUAACCGGGAGGCUGCGCCGGAUACUGGCUGGCUAGAGUAUGGGAGAGGGAAGCGGAAUUCCUGGUGUAGCGGUGAAAUGCGUAGAUAUCAGGAGGAACACCUGUGGUGUAGACGGCUUCCUGGACCAUUACUGACUCUGAGACACGAAAGCGUGGGGAGCAAACAGGAUUAGAUACCCUGGUAGUCCACGCCCUAAACGAUGCGGACUUGGUGUGGGCUGUUCAGUCAGUCUGUGCCGGAGCUAACGCGUUAAGU